AGCAAGUUCGUAGCGUACCACCCACUGGUCCUCCGAAGCAAGCGGCAAAAAAAGGCGGUGCUUUUGUGCCUCGAUACCGGACGACGCUCGCAACAAUGGUUGAUAUGUCCGAUUUGAAGGAUGGUGCUUUACGUGAAAUCAAUAUGGAUGAAAGUGUCUUCGGUAUUGAAUUCAAGUCACAUAUUGCAAUUGAUGACUUGGAAGAGAUUUUUACGCAUGAACAACUAGGCGUCGGUAAUAUGCACUCAUACAUCCGGUUGUUGUAUGACAGAGUGUUGCGCGGGACUGCAUUGUCUAACAGAUUCCGUUUCGUGUCUUCCGCCCAUUGCAGCGGAAUGGCAAUUGCUUCGGAACCGGAAUCAGUUAGACAGCUCUUAGUCGAUAGAUUCAUGUCCACCGGCAAUUCAGAAAGUCUGCAUCUUUGGGCGUAUAAUACCCGACCAGUAGGAGCACACUGGUUGUUGCUUGCUAUCAACCCUAUAAGAGAAGUCGUGUAUUAUCUGAAUUCGGUAAAUGGUGACUGGACCAAUUAUCCGGCUAUGAAGGAAAUCGUUGAUUUGUAAAUCAAUACAAGUGUUCCGAAGUCAACGAGACGCACAGGUAUCCCGGACUAAAUCAAACAACAUUACUUGGAUCAAAGUGCAGUGUCCGCAACAGCGAAACAGUUCAGAUUGCGGAUACUUUGUUUUGAGGUUUAUGAAAGAAAUCCUUCAGGCGAAUCAAUUAGAGAUUCCGCUCAUGUACCUUGACGAAUUCCGUGUUGCUGGGUACCCGAGACUUAAGUUGGAAGAAAUCAAAGAGGAUUUGUGUCAAUAUUAUACUAAGCAAUUUUUCAUGUAGGAUUUGUGUCGAUUUGAACUAUAAUAUUA